rnacentral:rRNA from 1 species
GACGAACGCUGGCGGCGUGCUUAACACAUGCAAGUCGAACGGAAAGGCCCUGCUUUUGUGGGGUGCUCGAGUGGCGAACGGGUGAGUAACACGUGAGUAACCUGCCCUUGACUUUGGGAUAACUUCAGGAAACUGGGGCUAAUACCGGAUAGGAGCUCCUGCUGCAUGGUGGGGGUUGGAAAGUUUCGGCGGUUGGGGAUGGACUCGCGGCUUAUCAGCUUGUUGGUGGGGUAGUGGCUUACCAAGGCUUUGACGGGUAGGCGGCCUGAGAGGGUGACCGGCCAAACGGGGACUGAGACACGGACGAGACUUCUACAGGAGGCAGCAGUAAGGAAUAGUGGUCAAGGGGCGAAAGCCUGAAGCGGCCAUGCCGCGUGCAGGAAGACGGCCCUAUGGGGUGGAAACUGGUUUUGUACAGGAAUAAACCUUCUCUUGCGAGAGAAGCUGAACGUACGGUAAGAAUAAGGAUCGGCUAACUCCGUG